rnacentral:rRNA from 1 species
GAUGAACGCUGGCGGCGUGCCUAAUACAUGCAAGUCGAGCGAACGGACGAGAAGCUUGCUUCUCUGAUGUUAGCGGCGGACGGGUGAGUAACACGUGGAUAACCUACCUAUAAGACUGGGAUAACUUCGGGAAACCGGAGCUAAUACCGGAUAAUAUUUUGAACCGCAUGGUUCAAAAGUGAAAGACGGUCUUGCUGUCACUUAUAGAUGGAUCCGCGCUGCAUUAGCUAGUUGGUAAGGUAACGGCUUACCAAGGCAACGAUGCAUAGCCGACCUGAGAGGGUGAUCGGCCACACUGGAACUGAGACACGGUCCAGACUCCUACGGGAGGCAGCAGUAGGGAAUCUUCCGCAAUGGGCGAAAGCCUGACGGAGCAACGCCGCGUGAGUGAUGAAGGUCUUCGGAUCGUAAAACUCUGUUAUUAGGGAAGAACAUAUGUGUAAUUAACUGCGCACAUCUUGACGGUACCUAAUCAGAAAGCCACGGCUAACUACGUG